GUCUUGAAAAUGCGGAUGAGAUAAAGUGGUCUAAUUAUCCAGAUUUACUGUGUAAUUUUUGCAAAAUUUAAUAGUUAAAGGGUUUGUUUGAAAAUGUAUUUUGUUUGGGUCUUUCUGUCGUUAUAGGUGUUGAGACUGCCGUGAAACCUUAAUCUUAAAAUGUGAUGAUUUGUGAGCGCUAAUAGAGGCAAGUAAAUAGCUACUUUUUUACAAACGGGAGAAAAUAUGUGGAUCCAGGUGGGUUCGAGACACGAUUAUUAUCUGUUUUGUUUACUAGUUGCUGGUACAUCCGAGUGGAUUUUAUAGUUAUUGCUGACUGU
rnacentral:lncRNA from 1 species